rnacentral:rRNA from 1 species
CCUACGGGAGGCAGCAGUCGAGAAUCAUUCACAAUGGGGGAAACCCUGAUGGUGCGACGCCGCGUGGGGGAAUGAAGGUCUUCGGAUUGUAAACCCCUGUCAUGUGGGAGCAAAUUAAAAUGAUAGUACCACAAGAGGAAGAGACGGCUAACUCUGUGCCAGCAGCCGCGGUAAUACAGAGGUCUCAAGCGUUGUUCGGAAUCACGGGGCGUAAAGCGUGCGGAGGCUGUUUCGUAAGUCGUGUGUGAAAGGCGCGGGCUCAACCCGCGGACGGCACAUGAUACUGCGAGACUAGAGUAAGGGAGGGGGAACCGGAAUUCUCGGUGUAGCAGUGAAAUGCGUAGAUAUCGAGAGGAACACUCGUGGCGAAGGCGGGUUCCUGGACAUUAACUGACGCUGAGGCACGAAGGCCAGGGGAGCGAAAGGGAUUAGAUACCCUAGUAGUC